UGUGUGCGUGUGCACACACAUAUAUGUGGUAAAAACACUUCAAAAUCUAUUCUCAGCAAUUUUCAUAUGUACACUAUAUUCCUGUAUUAUUAACUAGUAUCAAAAUGAUGUACAGUGAAGCUCUUGACCUUAUCCCCCCCAACUGAAAUUUUACAUCCUUUGCCCAAAAUCUCCACAAUUGCACCACCCCUCGCCUCUGAUAAUCACCACCUUACUCUCCACUUCUAUGAAGUCAACUUUUUUAGAUUCCACCUAUAAAUGAGAUUGUGUAAUAUUUGUCUUUCUGUACCUAACUCAUUUUACUUAGCAUAAUAUUAUCCAUGUUGUCACAACUGACAGAAUUUUCUUCUUUUUUAAAGACUGAAUUGCAUUCCACUGUGUAUUUACCACUCUUUAUCAAAAUUUUUUUUUUGAGGGGUCAGGUGCUGAGGAUUAAACCUAGGGCCUUGUGCAUGUAAGGCAAGCACUCUACCAACUGAGCUAUAUUAUCUCCAGCCUACUUUAUCAGUUUAUCUGCUGACAGACAUGUAAAUUGAUCCUUAUCUUGGCUGUUGUGAAUGAUGCUAAAACAUGGGAGCACGGCUAUCUCUUGAGCAUCCUGAUUUCUUGGCCUUUGGCUUUAUACCCAGUGGUAGGAUUGCUGGAUCAAAUGGUUGUUCUAUUUUUAACUUUUUAGAAACCUCCCUACUGUUUUCCACAAAGCUUCUGCUAAUUUACAUUCCCACCAACUGUGCACAAGAGUUUC
rnacentral:lncRNA from 1 species